rnacentral:rRNA from 1 species
AUGCUUGUCUCAAAGAUUAAGCCAUGCAUGUCUAAGUCCAAGCUGUGUUCACACGGCGAGACCGCGGACGGCUCAUUAAAUCAGUCGUGGUCCAAAUGGGCCAGUGCAAAUCCUACUUGGAUAACUGUGGUAAUUCCAGAGCUAAUACAUGCAACUGAUAUCCCGAAGGCGGUGUUGGGGCUUGCUUGCCUUGCGCUGCGCUGCUCUGACGGAUGCUUUUAUUAGACCAAGCCGCUGAGGACUUGAGGGUUCGCGCUCUCUUGUUUGACUCGUGUGAUGGUGACUCUGGAUAACCAAAUUCUGACAAGCGCACGUACUUCUCUUCUGAGCGAGACGGCGCUGCCACUUUCGAGUGUCUGCCUUAUCAGCUAUCAACCGUUCGUUAUGCGCGACCGAUGGCUUUGACGGGUAACGGGGAAUCAGGGUUCGAUUCCGGAGAGGCAGCCUGAGAGACGGCUACCACGUCCAAGGACGGCAGCAGGCACGCAAAUUACCCAAUCCCAGCAAAUGGGGGAGGUAGUGACGAAAUCUAACGAUGCGGGCGCCCUUUCUGGGGCCCCGCAAUCGGAAUGGGCACUUUCUAAACAACCUGUUGAGAACCUAC